GACGAACGCUGGCGGCGUGCCUAAUACAUGCAAGUCGAACGAGAGCGCCCGGUGCUUGCACUGGUCAAUCUAGUGGCGAACGGGUGAGUAACACGUGGGUAACCUGCCCAUCAGAGGGGGAUAACAUCCGGAAACGGAUGCUAAAACCGCGUAGGUCUUCGAACCGCAUGGUUUGAAGAGGAAAAGAGGCGCAAGCUUCUGCUGAUGGAUGGACCCGCGGUGCAUUAGCUAGUUGGUGAGGUAACGGCUCACCAAGGCCGUGAUGCAUAGCCGACCUGAGAGGGUGAUCGGCCACAUUGGGACUGAGACACGGCCCAAACUCCUACGGGAGGCAGCAGUAGGGAAUCUUCCGCAAUGGACGCAAGUCUGACGGAGCAACGCCGCGUGAGUGAAGAAGGUUUUCGGAUCGUAAAACUCUGUUGUUAGAGAAGAACAAGUGCUAGAGUAACUGUUAGCGCCUUGACGGUAUCUAACCAGAAAGCCACGGCUAACUACGUG
rnacentral:rRNA from 1 species